rnacentral:misc_RNA from 1 species
GCAAACUUGGUCAUUUAGAGGAAGUAAAAGUCGUAACAAGGUUUCCGUAGGUGAACCUGCGGAAGGAUCAUCAAUGAAUUUCAAAAAUUCAUUUGGCUUUGGUUGGUGUUGACCCCCCUGGCAAUUUUGCUGGGAAAGGGUUUUUAGCCCUCCAUUGCCUUAUCAACAACCAUCAGUCCUCUGUCUAGCCAAAGGUGUCUCGAGACCACAUCUCCGAGCCCUUUGUCAAUGGACUUGGACUUUUAGAGUAGUUUGGGGCCGUUCGCUUAGUUUUGGUAGGUUUAGUUUUCUGAACUUUUCCAACACUACGCAAACACCUCUUACUCUCGCCAUUGUGGGCAACAAACUUAAUUAAAAUACAACUUUUAACGAUGGAUCUCUUGGCUCCCGCAUCGAUGAAGAACGCAGC